AGAACACUGAAUUGCACUGCCAAGGUCACAUACAUACUGUACUGGUCAUAAUCAAGUAUCUCAAUUCAAUCACAUAUUAUCCCAAAUUAGUCCAGUAAAAAAGUGCUAAACAUUAUUGCCUUUUCUGUCCAUCUAGUGCCAUGCUUUUUGUUAAUUUAUGUGUCUUUUCUCCCAGCAUAACUUGUUUUUGGGUUUUCCUCAUUUCUGUUGGACCUUCAUGUCUAAUCUCAUCAUUUUAUGUGGGUG
rnacentral:misc_RNA from 1 species